rnacentral:rRNA from 1 species
UACAGAGGGUGCGAGCGUUGUUCGGAAUUAUUGGGCGUAAAGGGCGCGUAGGCGGCUUUGUAAGUUAGAGGUGAAAGCCCGGGGCUCAACCCCGGAAUUGCCUUUAAGACUGCAUCGCUUGAAUCCGGGAGAGGUGAGUGGAAUUCCGAGUGUAGAGGUGAAAUUCGUAGAUAUUCGGAAGAACACCAGUGGCGAAGGCGGCUCACUGGACCGGCAUUGACGCUGAGGUGCGAAAGCGUGGGGAGCAAACAGG